rnacentral:rRNA from 1 species
UACGUAGGUGGCGAGCGUUGUCCGGAUUUAUUGGGCGUAAAGGGCGCGUAGGCGGAUGGCACAGUCAGAUGUGAAAUUCCCGGGCUUAACCUGGGGGCUGCAUUUGAUACGUGUUGUCUAGAGUGUGGAAGAGGGUUGUGGAAUUCCCAGUGUAGAGGUGAAAUUCGUAGAUAUUGGGAAGAACACCGGUGGCGAAGGCGGCAACCUGGUCCUUGACUGACGCUGAGGCGCGAAAGCGUGGGGAGCAAACAGG